UACGUAGGGUGCAAGCGUUGUCCGGAAUUACUGGGCGUAAAGCGUGCGCAGGCGGUUUUGUAAGCCAGAUGUGAAAUCCCCGGGCUUAACCUGGGAAUGGCAUUUGGGACUGCAAGGCUUGAGUGCGGCAGAGGAGACUGGAAUUCCUGGUGUAGCAGUGAAAUGCGUAGAUAUCAGGAGGAACACCGAUGGCGAAGGCAGGUCGUCUGGGCUGACACUGACGCUCAUGCACGAAAGCGUGGGGAGCAAACAGGAU
rnacentral:rRNA from 1 species